rnacentral:misc_RNA from 1 species
UCAAACUUGGUCAUUUAGAGGAAGUAAAAGUCGUAACAAGGUCUCCGUUGGUGAACCAGCGGAGGGAUCAUUACCGAGUUAUCGCUCAAAACCCACUGUGAACCUACCGUACGUUCGUUGCUUCGGCGGGCGGCCCCUGGGGGGGCCCUGGGCCCUCGCGGUGCCCGCCGGCAGCGCCCAGCUCUGUAUUUUUCUAGCUCACCGUCUGAUUGUGCUACAAGCGAAAAACUAUAAAAACUUUCAACAACGGAUCUCUUGGCUGUGGCAUCGAUGAAGAACGCAGC